rnacentral:lncRNA from 1 species
GAAGGAACUGAUGAGAACGCAAUUCACGCACGCCUGAAGUCGAUUUACGCGAAUCUGCACGGAUCGUCGUCGCACGGCGUCACACACCAGCGGGCAAUAAAGCCCUCUGCUCAGAAGAAAACCGAAACGCAGUGGAACACACACGAGUACGUGGACGCUAAUAAUAAUUUGGAGUACGUCGAGCACAAUAUCGAGUCCAAUGUGCCAUCGAAGAAGGUCAUUAUUAAGACAUGCAUUUGCGAUCGUCCAGGAAAGGCGCUCGAGUGUGGCCGCUGCCACCAAUACUUCCAUGGCCGCAUUGCCGCAAAAUGCGAGAAGCAUCCAGCGGUGAGUUCGACAUUUUUUACUGUUAUGGUUGUGGUUACGGUUACGGUAUAAGAUGUGUCCACAGGAGGCUUUCUUGAUGGACUUUCGCGAGUGCCCCUACUGCACGGCUAACCAUGACCAAAUCAAGGAAUCUAAAUUGACAUGGGCUGAGAUCCGCAAGAUCGAGGACGCCGUACUGCCCAAUGAUGAUUUAUAAACGCGAGUUUGAUACUCGCCAACAGCAUAAUUAAUUUACAUAACCAUAAUGUAUCGAUUGUGCAUGAAAUUACAAUUAUCUUUCUUCAAACAUUUGACGGUCUUUUUCUGUUGCCUCUUUUGCCUAAUAUUUCCCUAUAAAACCAAACAUAAGACACACACCAGCACACAUGCCAGGGCAUCUACUUUUCAGGGCGACAUUUAUGAAGUGCUCAAUGUCAUCGUUGAAGGAAGCUCACAUAAGCUGUGGUAAAAAAGGAAGUGCAGCACAUGGGCAUGACCGCCAUAAAACCAAAUGGCCUAGUCACACCAGCUUGACACCAGCAGCACCACCGUCACCGGAAGCAUCAGCACACCCCAGUGGAGGAGUGACUUAACACUAAGUAAGUGCAUUGAAUUGAAGUGCUGCUAACGUUUUUAUGCUUCUACUUUUUUUGUUUGGGUUUCCAGUGAGGAAUUCUAAAAGCCUGCAGCACCUUUUGAACAGAACGACUGCUGCAGGAUGAGAUCAGCAGAAGCUUGUGUCUUCCAGCUGAGUCAUAGCUGCGUCGUGCAUCUAGUUUGUGCGCUGGCAUUAACCUAUCUGUCAUCUCAAUUGCAGUGGCGGAUUCUAUGCGCAACUCCCAGCGGCAGGGCUCCAUUCAAAUCAGCGAACAAAUUCAUGUCACCGAUAACAAUUCAAUCACUUAAGAGUUCAACACAUUUUGGAAUCGCUUUACAAUCGCCCCUAGAGCGACCCACUCCAUGGGUCGAACUGGCAAGUUGCACCCGCCGGACGGACACAUUGUGG